UGUUAAUUAGUUAGCAACAUUGCUCCUCAUUUUCCGUGUAGACUUUAAUUUCAGAGGACAAAACCCGUGGAUAUGUCGAGAAACAAGACGGAGCUAAAAACACAAGGCUUCACCGUGAAGGCCACCAUGAAGAACUCCGUGGUGGAGGGUCCCCCGGCCGCAGGGGCUUUUCGGGAGCGCCCUUCCAAACCGACCACCUUCCGCAAGUUCUACGAGCGUGGAGAGUUCCCAAUGGCGCUGGAGCAUGACACGAAAGGCAACCGCAUUGCAUGGAAGGUGGAGAUUGAAAAGCUGGACUACCACCACUACCUGCCUCUGUUCUUUGAUGGCUUAUGUGAGACUGUUCAUCCCUACGAGUUCUUCGCCCGUCAGGGAGUGCAUGACAUGCUGGAGCACGGAGGCCCCAUGAUCCAGCCCGUCAUUCCCCAGCUCAUCAUCCCCAUCAAAAAUGCACUGAACACGAGGAACCGUCAGGUGAUCUGCACCACCCUGAAAGUCCUUCAGCACCUGGUGAUGUCCGGAGACAUGGUGGGAGAAGCCCUGGUUCCCUACUUUAGACAGAUCCUCCCGAUUCUCAACAUCUUCAAGAACAUGAACAUCAACUCUGGAGAUGAAAUUGACUACAGCCAGCAGAAGAGGGAGAACAUCGGCGAUCUGAUACAGGAGACUCUGGAGGUGUUUGAGCGCUACGGAGGAGAGGACGCCUUCAUAAACAUCAACUGCUUCUAUUGUGUUGUACCACUGUACCCAUUCUGUCACAAACCCAGCUGGAGACGGGGCUUGUCUAAACAUGCAGAGGAAAGACGCGCAGGAAUGAGGACCGACAGCAUUCCCCCUGAUAACACUCAGUCAUACACAUAGACGUUUGGUUACCAUCCUUUGAACUCAAAUACCCCCCUGUGAUCUUACUGAACAUUUGGCAUGCAUGUGGGUUUAUUUAUGACUGUCUCUGCAUGACAACAUACAUGUUUUUUUUAUUCCUCCAGAACAGCCAGUACCUCAGUAGCAUCUUUAACCAACUUUGUGUUCUCUUACUUCCACAUUGAAGGUGCUCUCUCCCACAAUCCUUUUUACUGCAUUAAAGUCACAGUGGAAACUUCUUCCCUGCCACAAUGUCUUAUCGCUCACAAACACUCAUUUCUUUCCCCGCUACGGGCUGGCAGGCGUGCACAAACAGGCGAACGAGCA